rnacentral:lncRNA from 1 species
GUGAAAAGGGUCUAUAUGGUAUACGGAUCUCUAUGGUAUAAUCUAAACUUCCUGAAUCCCUUUGAGGAGCAAGAUCCUCAUACUUCCAAGAGAAGGAGAUUGCCAAGGGGGAGUAGCUGCCAGAAAAAGCUGCAUCCCUUAACUCUAUAAAUCUCAGAGCAGUUACUCGGGAAGAAGCUUGUACAUCUUCAAAUGCAGUCAUUGCAGGAACUUGGGGGAGCUGGAUGGAGAAACAGAAACAGAGUGAGCAACAGGAGAAGAAACUGCUCCUGAGCAUGACUGGAGAUGUAGUACCAGCAGUGGCUGAACCAGUGCUGGAAUUCAGACCCAGUAACAACUAUGACCAUAAAAAGACAAAUAAUGUAUUCAGAUGCCCAUCUAAUUUCUUCAUGCCAGCUCUGGAAGUGAUCAGCCAAAAAAGGUAGAUUUUCCCUUUUUUUUUUUUUUUUUGUACUUCCAUUUCCUCC